GCCAGUCAUGGCAUAUGGGUGUGACCUAGCCGUCGCUCCUCUCCCACUCGCGCGUACCCCUCUCCUCUUCCCUCCGCCUCGCCUCUCUCCCCCCGUUCAAAACCUAGGCCCGCCCUCGCCGGCUGCCGCCGCCGCCGCUCGGCCAGGCCAUCCUCCCGCUGUGAAGGAAGCGGCCAGAGAGGGAGGGCAUCGCCGGGUGUGCGCGCCAGCCCCUCUCCACUGCUGAUCCCCUUUUUUGCAGCUCAGUAUGGUAGGGAACGGAGAGUACUGGGUGUGACAUCCAGCCGCAGGAGCCUAUGUGAUGUGUACCUGUGUUGGUGCCUUGCCUUUACAGAGAUCCAUUAUGUCUUCCUCUUGAUAAGCACGACAAGCUUUUACUUGUACCAUGAAACAUGGAGCGGCUCGACGCGCCGGCCACGUGCGCCGACGAGCCGGCUGCUAGCAAGGUGAGCCCCCUUUGCUUGGAUCUGUCUUUGAUAUAUGCCAUGUGAUUUGUAGUUGAAUAAUCCUUUUAGCCAUGUCGAUGCUUGCUAUGUAGUCCACUGUGCAUCAAAUUAUUUAGAUCCAAUGAAUAGCCGUUUUUACCCUGUCCAUGCUUCCAAAUCGAGGGUUGAGGGGCGCACCGGAUCCAGGCGCAAUGGCGCGUUGGUGAGCACGGAGGCGGCCAUGGCCGAGCUCGAGGGUCUCGUUCCGUGAUGGCUCCUACGUACGCGUGCCUGGGUUAUCAAGAGCCACCGUUUGUACCGUUCGUCGAGGCUUCGACCAUCUUGCUCGUUGCUACUGCGUCGAGAGGUUGGAAGGCUUCUGGUUGGUGAGCUCGUCUUUUUCCUUCCUAUCUAGCAGACAAAUGUAUGUGAUGCUUCAGUGGUUUCUUAGAUGUGUUGGCUGCUCAGAUCUGGCUAAUGUUUUUUUGGAUGCAUUAGGUUCUCCUCGCUGGAUAUGGUAGGGUUUUUAUGGAUGGAUUAGGGGAUCUACUUGGAUCCUUGGUAUUUUGUUGCCGUGUGGCCUAGAUUCCUGCGAGUUUUUUGUGCCUUUCUGAAUUUGUCAGCUGCUUAUGGGUUUGGCGUGGACUGCUACCUUUCUGAAUUUGUCAGCUGCUUAUGGGUUUGGCGUGGACUGCUGUUGUUGGCUUGGUUUAAAAUAGUCACGAGCCGACGACCGCAUCUCACCUUGCUCGACGUCCACCGCAGACGACCGGUAGCCGUUGACCUACCUACUGCCUACCCGUCCGCCUCAAGUGCAAGGUAUGUUCUUGCUCCUGCAUUCAGUGGAUUUGCUCAUGUAUUCAGCAGCGUAGUAUUGUAUUGUGAUAAAUUUGUAUUUACAAUGAUUUUGCUGUUGUUGUAUAUAGCCUAUUCAAUGGACUUGCUGCUGUUGUAGUAGGGUAUCCAAUGAUUUUGUAAUGGAUUUGCUGUUGUUACCUCUGAAAACAGUACAGUUUGCUGCUGUUUAAGUAUGACUAUCAAAAUAUUAGUGUCAUGUGGCUGCGUUUCUUGCACCAGUGCUGCAUCCGGGGCGUUACACUUAACAGCCGUCGAGGAUCAUUGUGUGCUGGCUUUGUCCAUAUUCUCAUGGUA